UUUAAAUGGCCGCAGUACCUUGACUGUGCUAAGGUAGCAUAAUCAAUUGGCUUCUAAUUAAAGUCUAGAAUGAAAGGAAGUAUGAGGUAAUUCUGUCUUAAAAGAUUUUUUUUUAAUUUAUUUAAAUGAUGAAAAUAUCAUUUAUUAGAAAAAAGACGAGAAGACCCUUAGAGUUUGAAUUUUUUUAAUUUUGUUGGGGCGACAGGUAAACAUUUAAACUUUACUAUUUUUAUAAAUCGAUUUUUAAUAAAAAUAUAAAAACUACCUUAGGGAUAACAGCAUUAUAUUUUUAUAUGAUUGUGACCUC
rnacentral:rRNA from 1 species